rnacentral:lncRNA from 1 species
AUCCUCUUGACUCCAGUUUCUCCGACGUCGGCAAAAUUCUGCACCAACAGAAUUGGCGCUAGAGGAAGGGGUACUGUGUCUUCGCAGUACCUUUGUUCUUAAAGGAGUGCUCAACGGGACCAUCUCCGAUCAUCUUCUUCGAUAUCUUCUUCUCCUUCUCCUGCCAGAUCUCCACCUGAUGCCUUUCCGAAAGACAUCCACCAGACGAUCCACGGCCUCUGCGGC